AACUACUCGUGUUGUUUUGGGAA
rnacentral:siRNA from 1 species